ACAUGGCCGGCGAAGGAGACCGGCAGGACCCUGCGCGUAACAUGGGAAACCACCUGCAGCUUCUGCCUGGUUUUACUUUCACAGCAGAUAGUGAGGAAGAAGAUGAAACCGAGAUGGAAGUUGAAGACCAGGAUAGCAAAGAAGCUAAAAAACCAAAUGUCAUAAAUUUUGACACCAGUCUGCCAACAUCACAUACCUACCUGGGCGCUGAUAUGGAAGAAUUUCACGGCAGGACUUUGCAUGAUGACGACAGCUGUCAAGUGAUUCCGGUUCUGCCACAGGUGAUGAUGAUCUUGAUUCCUGGGCAGACGUUACCUCUUCAGCUUUUUCGGCCUCAAGAAGUCAGUAUGGUGCGGAAUUUAAUUCAGAAAGAUAGAACCUUUGCAGUUCUUGCAUACAGUAAUGUACAAGAAAGGGAAGCACAAUUUGGAACAACAGCAGAGAUAUAUGCCUAUCGAGAAGAACAGGAUUUUGGAAUUGAGAUAGUGAAAGUGAAAGCGAUUGGAAGACAAAGGUUCAAAGUCCUUGAGCUAAGAACACAGUCAGAUGGAAUCCAGCAAGCUAAAGUGCAAAUUCUUCCCGAAUGUGUGUUGCCUUCAACCAUGUCUGCAGUUCAGUUAGAAUCACUCAAUAAGUGCCAGAUAUUUCCUUCAAAACCUGUCUCAUUGGAAGACCAGUAUUCAUGUAAAUGGUGGCAGAAAUACCAGAAGAGAAAGUUUCACUGUGCAAAUCUGACUUCAUGGCCUCACUGGCUGUAUUCCUUAUAUGAUGCUGAAACCUUAAUGGAUAGAAUCAAGAAACAGCUGCGUGAAUGGGAUGAAAAUCUAAAAGAUGAUUCUCUUCCAUCAAAUCCAAUAGAUUUUUCUUACAGAGUAGCUGCUUGUCUUCCUAUUGAUGAUGUAUUAAGAAUUCAGCUUCUUAAAAUUGGUAGUGCUAUCCAACGGCUUCGCUGUGAACUAGACAUUAUGAAUAAAUGUACUUCCCUUUGCUGUAAACAAUGUCAAGAAACAGAAAUAACAACCAAAAAUGAAAUAUUCAGUUUAUCCUUAUGUGGGCCGAUGGCAGCUUACGUGAAUCCUCAUGGAUAUGUGCAUGAGACGCUUACUGUGUACAAGGCCAGCAACCUGAAUCUGAUAGGCCGGCCUUCAACAGAGCACAGCUGGUUUCCUGGGUAUGCCUGGACCAUUGCCCAGUGCAGGAUCUGUGCAAGUCAUAUUGGAUGGAAAUUUACAGCCACCAAAAAGGACAUGUCACCUCAAAAAUUUUGGGGUUUGACUCGUUCUGCUCUGUUGCCCACAAUCCCAGACACUGAAGAUGAAGUAAGCCCAGACAAAGUAAUACUUUGCUUGUAAACAGAUAUGUAUGGUGGGGAUAGUUAUUUAACAAGCUGGUAUUUUUAAAUCAGAUCUGCUUUGAAAAUGUGUUGCCUCUGAUUCAUGCCUGAGUAAACAGCACCAUUACAUGGAGGGCUGUAGUUUCUUAGUCACGCCAUGUAUGAGACGAUGAAAAACAAUCUAGAAUGUAAGCAAGCUCAGUUUCAGGAAUCUAUUUCAGUAGCUUGGUACCAUCUCAUUGACAGAUCAUGAAGGUAUCCUUGAAAGUGAUGACAUUGUUUCUUGUACAAAUAAAAUAUAGGAAUGUUUUAAAUUCCUGUAACGUGAGACUAGUCAUUUGGUCCUAAGAUAUGGGCCAGCAUAUUUAUAUCAGUGCUCCUGAAAGCUAGGGUGCCAAGCACUCAAGUACAUGUUCCUUUCUGAAAGAGGCAAGUCGGUGUAUAUUAUAAGGGCUUUGUUCCUUUUAACUCUGUUUAGCUUCUCUGAGAUACUGAUCUGUAAAUCUUGAAAAUAUUAAAGAGUUAAAAUAUGCAGUUUAAGCCCAGAAAUAAAGUUGUCAUUUCCUUUAAGUGAGAAAUAGUACUUUGUGUAUUUGCUCAGUGUUUGUUUGACCCAUAACUGUAGUUACUGUUCUGUACCUAAAAGCUGUUUUUCAAAAAGCAAGCCUUAAUUUGAACCGAAACUAUUGUGGGGCAGACAUGCUAAAUAACCUACCUGCUUCAUACAGGCUAGAAGUGGUAUUAUUGUAUUUUGUUCAGUGUAAAUUGAAGAAAAUCUGUAAGUAAACUUCUUCACUAAAUUAAACAUGUUUUGUUUAAAUAAUGUAAAUAUCUACUCAUAAGCAGAUAAUCUAGGUGUAAGAAAUAAUGUUUUUAAGAUACUAAGUGCUAGAUAGAUAGAUAGUAGACUGAUUUGCCACCUACCUCUUUGCUUAUAAGUUGAUCUUUUCACAUUUGUGUAAUAUUGAUAUUCCUUCAUAAUUCAGUGGGAAAAAAUUAAAUAGGAUUAAAACUUUGAAUCAAACAUAGUGUGAGGCCAAAAACUGACUGUCAUUAUGUUUUAUUUUUUUUUCAACCAAACACGCAAUGGUUUACUGAUUGCCUUGACCGAAAAUGAGUAUCAUGUUGCAAAUUUCUGUAGAUAGUAAAUGAAAAGCAGCUCAAGAAUGCUGUUAAUUGCUUAAGCUCCCUUGCAGGUAAUCAUCAGGGAGGCUAAAAUAAAGUGCUACAUACACCUUGGGAAGACGGAUUACCUCUAGCUGGGAAAAGAUGAGGCGCUUUGUGAUAGAGUGACAUCUGAGUUGCAAGCCUUAAAAAAUAACUAGGAUUUGUACAUGCAGAUGUAGGAAGAACAACAUUUCAAAUGAAAAGAAAAGAUGGUGAGAGGCAUAGUGGAAAAGAAGAAGAAUAUAUGUAAUAGAGAAUUAUGCCCGACAAAUAGCCCAUUAAGCAUCUUGGGUAGACAGAAAAGGGUUGUGGAUGACAAGCUGCAGUUCGGAAUCUCUUCAUUAGAAGUGAAAGUCUGAAAAGGAAUGAAGGAAGACUGGACAGUCUAGAAUUCUGUUCUAUGAUUCCUCUAAAUCUCCAUAACACUCUCCCUAGAAACAAGCUACUUCUCACUACGGAAUUCCAGAACUCAGGGAUUUGAGGCACCAAAUAUCUCUAAAGGCAUGGGAUAAAGAAAGAGUUCUGAAAUAGGAAGAACUUUAAAAAUCAUUACUAGAAACAAUAAGAUCCCCAGAAUGCCUCCCUACCAAAGCUGAAAACCAGAGAUUUACUCUCUACCAAGUUGAACCAAAAACCAUGACUUGGGGCACCAGGCACAGAUGGUCAUGUGAGUGAUGCACCUCAGUGAAAACAAGACUGAUUGACCUGUGUCCCAUUCUCCACUUGGCUUUCAAAAUGCUACUUAGCCAAGUUUAUUCCCUGGCAUAACCAUGGGGGAGGAUUCCUCUCUGAUUCCUCCCAAUGAAAAGUCCUACUGACACUGACAUCGGAGUCUCACAGCAAAGCUACAAAUAAAGCCCUCAAGUCACUGUGCUAACUAGAGCAUCACCCAAAUAUAAAAAGAGCCAAGGAACACCCAUAUUUAAGGAAAGCCAACAUAAGAGGCAGAAAAAGCUCAGAGGAAAGAGAAAUAAGACAGUGCAUCUCAAAUAAGAACAGGAUGCUUUAAAAGAAAUAUUCUAAAAACAAGAAAGACCUCUUCAAAAUUUAAAAGAUAGGAGAAGUUGCAAAUAUAUAAUAGAAAGGUUGGAAGAUCAAUCUAAGGCACUCUAACGGAAAUAAAAGACAUGAGGACAGAAAACAGGAGAUAAAGAAACUAGAGGACCAGUCCCAGUGGUCCAACAUCCACAUAACAGGAGCUUCCAAUGGAGAAGACAUUUAACAAAGAGGGCGGAAUUAUGAAGAAAUACAACAGGGCCCCCUAAGUACCCCACACAAUAAAUGAAAAAUAAAUCCAAACCAAAGUACACCACAUUGAAAUUUAAAUAAA